UUGGCCUUUUUCUUUCAUCGUACCAGAUAAAUUUGUCUGCUCUUUGGGAGAGAAAUACUGGGUGAUUUUCAACUGUUUGGGCUUUUUUUCUACUGUUGAUAGUUCCAGAAUAUCAAGCCCCUGAGUCAGGACUAUGUGAUUAAUUAAUGAUUGAACAAAUGCCUCAGGAAGAAGCCCACUUUAAAAAAGUGCCAAAACUGCAGGUCAGGAAAAGCACCUGUGAGCAGACAGCAAACACUAUAUGGAAAAGGAACAAAGGAAUCUGCUGAAUACCAACUCACACCAUUUGACUUCCUCCUGCUAUAUGAAUUUUUGUAAACAUUAGUGGGAGAACUGCAUUGCAAAGUUCAGGUGCCUACGUUUUUUUAAAUUUUAUGAAGCUAAAGCUCUUCUGGCUGAGUUUUGAAGCUCUUAAGAUGAAAGACGGGAUGCCUGCACACUUUAUAAGAAGAGAGAAAGAAGAAGAAAUAGAAAAAGAAGAAAGGAAAAUAAUCAAUUUGGUAUCAAAUUUAUUCCAAAGCUGAAAAGUGCAUUUUUUUUCUUAUUGUGAAGGAAGACAUGCAGGGAGGUCAAAGGUCAAGCAAAGAGGAGACGGUAUUGUGUAGGAACUGUCACGCAUCACCACUUAUUUUGACAUGCAUAGGGCCGUUUGUUGUCUGUCGAACAUGCAAAUUAAGUGCCUGCUGUCAUAGCUAGCCGAUAUCUGAAAGUGGAAAAUGAGACCACCUGUAACCAGUGAAUGGAGUGAUGGACAAGCAUUCAGCGCUCGUCAUUUCCAACGCCAUUCACACCACCUCCGAAUUGCAUAUGACAUGUAAAAAUCUUUUCUUAAUAUUCACAACCGGGAAGUUUGGGGAAUUAUGGAGGCUUCAACUGCUGCAUCUAAUGGGUUCUCCAAGCAGACAGCUGUGACUGCGAGCUGGCUUAAUAAUUAGGUGUCCAGGAAGAUUUUAUGCUAUGAAUCAGUUAAAAGGGAGAAAAGGGAAAGGAAAAGAAAAUAAUGGCAAGCAAAACUCACCGGAAUGGAAAUAAUAUUAACCCUUCAAAUAUCUGCUCAAACAUUCAGCUUUGGAAAAAUAAAAAUAAAAAUAUAGUGGAUUUAUAAGAAGUUGCAUUCCAUUGCACAGUAAAUCUGUAAUAAAUGUGAUGUUUCCUGGAGAUGUUGCUAUUGUAAUACCCAUUGUAAUUGAUUCCUCAUGGAAAACUGGGAAACAUAUGGAAUUGACCUUUUUUAAAAAAUGUUUUGGAAUGUUCAGAGACAUUUCUUAGUAUACCUGAGUGAAGAGGUUAUGAAUUUUAAAAAUGAAGAUUUGCUUUUUUUUCACCAUAUCCUUGCACUACAGCUGAAGCAUAUGCAAAUCCCCAAUAGCGUAUUCACAACUGGCUGGCUGUCAUUGUUAUUGGGGGGUUCUAUAUGCACUAAAUACUCAGAAGCCCAAUUUUAGAUUUUGGGGAAGGGAUGCCAAGAGAUUUCAGUGAGGAGGGGAAAGUUUUGAAGGAAGCCUCAAAGCUCUGCUGUUGGAUAUAUUUAAGAUUAAAUCACAAAAAUGGCAGUUUUUAAAUGAACAUUUGUUGCUGUUACUGUUACUUUUGAUCCUUUCUAAUAAUGAGAGAGAGAUGACUUCUGGCAGAAUGGUGAUCUGAAACAGAUAGUGUUGCCAAGUCUGCAUCACCCUCUGUUCCUCUCCCCUUAAUAGUGACUUAAUCUGAUGACAUAAGCAAGUGAUAACACAUCUCUGUGCUAUGGAAAGCUUCACCUGGUGAUCUCUGCAGAAUAAGCUUAUGUUGGAGCAGGCUAUUUUUUUCCUCAUCAGCUGUAAAUCCUAGAAACAAGGAGGGCCCCAUUGCAUUAACUAAUCCUGACAGUAUUGUUCUUGCAGGCAAUCAAAAUUUUAGCAGUGUUUUGCACAUCUUCUGCUUCCUCAUUUCAAACUCCUUACUAAAAUUACAGCAGUCAGUUCAAACAUGCUGCCCUUUAAUUGGCCCUUACUAGAUUAAUGCUAGCAAAUAGAAGGGAACCCCCAUUCCAUCAUAAAAAAUCCAAACAUUCCAGUGUACCAUUUUUGUUUUUUCCUUGUGAUAUGGAAGGCAUUUUCAUUAAUUCAGUCUGCAGCACAACAGCACACAGACACGCUGCAGCGUAUAACCGACAUUCAGAUUGAUUAUUCACCUCACCGAAGAUGAAUCACAACUUAACAAUAGGAUAUUAUUUAUGAAGGCUUCCAAGCAAACUUAAGGGUUUGUGCUUAGGUCUUACUUAAACAAGCAUAGCACCUGCUAUUCUUGACCCCUGUGGUGUGAAGGUAGCACCUUAGAAAUGAUCAAAUAUACUGACUGGAUAUUAGCCAAGUGCUUCUAAAACCAGACUAGCUGGUUUAUAAUCCUUGAAACUGUGCUUCUUUCCAUUUCUUCACGACACACUGCUUUUUAUACAACAUUUCCAGGUGGAUGUUCACAAAUCUGGCCAAUCUGAUAGGUAGGUGGUAAAUGAAAACUAAGCUGCGCCCCCCCCCCAAAAAAAAUCCAGCCAACUCCACCCUCUAUCUGGUUGAGUAUUGGAAGAUAAUUAGGAAUAAUUUUUAGCAUUUCCAUAUGUAACUAACUAUAAUUAUGUUCAUUAAAUGCCCUGUCCCCACCCCCACCCCUACCCCUCAAUGUCCAGCUCUCAGUCAUCAUUUUGGUCACUAAGUGUGGCUAUGGAAUCUUAAUGAAGUCAGCUAGGAAUAUGGCAAUCAAAUAUGGAGAAUUCAUUGCACACGAAUGAACGCUGAGACAGACAUUACUUGGACUCUUACGUUUAGUACGGCAAUACAAGAUAAGUACUAAUUCCUUUCCUUGAGUCAUGCAUGUACGCAACAUCAAUGACAUGAUAGGACAAUAUCACAAUGAUAACACAGUUAAAGUGAGAUAAGAUGAAAGUCUGGGUGUUAGAGACAGAGAUGGAGAAAUAACUGAGAAGAGAGUAGAAGAGAAAGUUGUGCCUCUAGUACAGCAUAGUGUGUUAUACACAUACAUACCCCAAAACAAACUCUCCCAAUUUAGUAUUUCCUAACAAAUUCUUAUUACACUCUUUUGAUUACCCAGAAGAAUACAGGCACAUCAACACUAUUUGUACUAAUCCCCCUCCCUAUAUCAGGGGUCAGCUAUUGACUUUUCAAAUGCAGUACAUACCAAGAUCCCCUGGCAUUUCCUAUGUUGUCUAUCAAAUAUGCAAAUUUAGUGCACUCCAUGCAAUGCACUUUGGCAUAAUUCUGUAUCUUGAAGCUCUAUAGCACAAGAACCCUUCACUUACAUACUGAAUGCCCCACCCCAUCCAUCUUGGAAUGCAGCCAGUUAAAAUGUAUUAACUUGGAGAACCUCCACCAAUCUGGGGCAGAUCUUAGAAAUCCACUCACUCACUCUCCCAACUGUACCCCAGUUUGGACCUCACUAAAUUAUCCAAAAGAAGACUAACAAACUAUCAGAGCAGAUGAUGCUACUAGGGAUGAGGUUUCUUGAAAUGAACAGUAUUAAAAUCAAACAGUCCUGAAAACUCAUUAGCCCUGCUCAGAUGUUCAGAAUCAGUUUCUGAUCAAUUCCUGAUCAUGUGGAAGAUUUUAAGGGCAUUCACCAGAACGUGCUUAGAAUCCCCCUUAAGGUCUGCAUGCUGAUCAUGGGAAAGUCUGAAGUGGGGGCAGUGCAUGCAGGAGCAUUAGAGGCAGAACCUGGCUAUGCACUCCUUCCCCAACUUUAAGCCCAUAUGCAUUCUCUCUGAAGACUGAAGAGGGCUACUGUAAGGUUGUUACAGUUAGAAUUCUCUAUUAUACAACAGAACUUAAUAGGAAAGACUCUUUUCCAUUCAAAUUUAUGUACAGCAAGGAAGUUAAUGCUACUUAAUAGAGAACAAAAUGAACUUUAGGUUUAUAUAUAAAAAACA